rnacentral:rRNA from 1 species
CAGUAGCCACGGUAAUACGUAGGUGGCAAGCGUUGUCCGGAAUUAUUGGGCGCAAAGGGCUCGCAGGCGGUUUCUUAAGUCUGAUGUGAAAGCCCCCGGCUCAACCGGGGAGGGUCAUUGGAAACUGGGAAACUUGAGUGCAGAAGAGGAGAGUGGAAUUCCACGUGUAGCGGUGAAAUGCGUAGAGAUGUGGAGGAACACCAGUGGCGAAGGCGACUCUCUGGUCUGUAACUGACGCUGAGGAGCGAAAGCGUGGGGAGCGAACAGGAUUAGAUACCCCCGUAGUCCCUGUCUCUUAUAC